rnacentral:rRNA from 1 species
UACGUAGGGUGCAAGCGUUUGUCCGGAAUUAUUGGGCGUAAAGAGCUCGUAGGCGGUUUGUCGCGUCGUCUGUGAAAACUCGAGGCUCAACCUCGAGCUUGCAGGCGAUACGGGGCAGACUUGAGUACUGCAGGGGAGACUGGAAUUCCUGGUGUAGCGGUGAAAUGCGCAGAUAUCAGGAGGAACACCGGUGGCGAAGGCGGGUCUCUGGGCAUUAACUGACGCUGAGGAGCGAAAGCAUGGGGGAGCGAACAGG